rnacentral:rRNA from 1 species
GAUGAACGCUGGCGGCGUGCCUAAUACAUGCAAGUCGAGCGAACAGACGAGGAGCUUGCUCCUCUGACGUUAGCGGCGGACGGGUGAGUAACACGUGGAUAACCUACCUAUAAGACUGGGAUAACUUCGGGAAACCGGAGCUAAUACCGGAUAAUAUAUUGAACCGCAUGGUUCAAUAGUGAAAGACGGUUUUGCUGUCACUUAUAGAUGGAUCCGCGCCGCAUUAGCUAGUUGGUAAGGUAACGGCUUACCAAGGCGACGAUGCGUAGCCGACCUGAGAGGGGGAUCGGCCACACAGGAGAUGAGACACGGUCCAGACUCCGACGGGAGGCAGCAGUAGGGAAUCUUCCGCAAUGGGCGAAAGCCUGACGGAGCAACGCCGCGGGAGUGAUGAAGGUCUGCGGAUCGUAAAACUCUGUUAUUAGGGAAGAACAAAUGUGUAAGUAACGAUGCACGUCUGGACGGUACCUAAUCAGAAAGCCACGGCUAACUACGU